AUGGCAAAUACUCAAACCCUAGCACAAUCACAAAAUCCCCAUAUAGUCAUGCUACCAACACCCGGCAUGGGUCACUUAAUCCCUCUCGUUGAAUUCGCCAAACAACUCAUUUUACAACACGACUUCUCUAUAACACUCAUCCUCCCUACUGAUGGCCCCAUCUCGAAAUCUCAAAACACUUUCCUCAACACCCUUCCCUCAGGCAUCAAUUAUCUCCUUCUCCCUCCUGUUAACUUCGAUGAUUUAUCAGAUGAUGUUCUUAUGGAAACGCGUAUUUCCCUUACUAUAACUCGUUCUCUUUCAUCUCUACGUGAGGUUUUUAAGUCUGUAGUCGAAUCUCACAGAGUAGUGGCCUUUGUGGUUGAUUUAUUUGGUACUGAUGCAUUUGAUUUAGCAAAUGAGCUCAAUGUGUCACCUUAUAUGUUCUACACUACCACGGCUACGAUGUUGUCUCUAGAUUUGUUUUUUCCGGAGCUUGAUGAAAUUGUUUGUUGUGAGUAUAAAGAUUUACAAGAGCCUGUUCGUAUUCCAGGAUGCAGACCUAUACAUGGGAAGGAUCUUCCGGACCCACUUCACAAUAGAAAAGAUGAUGCAUACAAAUGGGUUCUUCACCAUACUAAGAGGUUCAAAAUGGCUCAUGGCAUUAUCUUAAACAGCUUCAUUGAUUUGGAACCUGAAACAAUUAAAUAUCUACAAGAGGCAUAUAACAAUAAGCCAAAAAUUUACUCAAUUGGACCACUUAUAUUAAUGGAUAAAAAAAUUGAUGAUGACGUGUCACAAUGUUUGACAUGGCUUGAUAAGCAGCCACGUGGAUCAGUAAUCUACAUUUCAUUUGGGAGUGGUGGGACCCUCUCACAUGAACAAAUAAUUGAACUGGCAAUAGGAUUAGAAAUGAGUGGACAAAGAUUUUUAUUGGUAAUUAGAUGUCCAAAUGAUAGAAUUCCAAAUGGCACUUAUUUCAAUAACCAAAAUUCAACUAACCCUCUUGAUUUUUUACCUAUUGGGUUCUUCGAAAGAACCAAAGGGUUAGGUCUUGUGUUGCCUAAUUGGGCACCACAAGUUCAAGUUCUUAGCCAUGUGUCGGUUGGUGGAUUUCUGACUCAUUGUGGGUGGAACUCGAUUCUGGAGAGUGUGGUUUGUGGCGUUCCACUUAUUGCUUGGCCUCUCUUUGCAGAACAAAGAACGAACGCGGUGAUGUUAACUGAGGAUUUAAAAGUUGCCUAAGGCCGAAAAUUCGUGACAAUGGUAUCGUUGGGCGAUCGGAAAUUAGUGAAGUGGUGAAAGAAUUGAUGGAAGGUGAAGAGGGAAAAGAAGUGUGUAUUAGAAUGAAAGAGCUAAAAGAUGCAGCAAAAAAGGUGUUGAGUGAAGAUGGCUCUUCAACUAAAGCACUAGAUGAACUUGCUUUUGAGUUGAAAAAAUGUGUCACAUGAUUA